rnacentral:tRNA from 1 species
GUCGGGGUAGCUCAGUUGGUAGAGCAGAGGACUGAAAAUCCUCGUGUCA